UGGGGAAUAUUGGACAAUGGGCGCAAGCCUGAUCCAGCCAUGCCGCGUGAGUGAUGAAGGCCCUAGGGUUGUAAAGCUCUUUCACCGGUGAAGAUAAUGACGGUAACCGGAGAAGAAGCCCCGGCUAACUUCGUGCCAGCAGCCGCGGUAAUACGAAGGGGGCUAGCGUUGUUCGGAUUUACUGGGCGUAAAGCGCACGUAGGCGGACUUUUAAGUCAGGGGUGAAAUCCCGGGGCUCAACCCCGGAACUGCCUUUGAUACUGGAAGUCUUGAGUAUGGUAGAGGUGAGUGGAAUUCCGAGUGUAGAGGUGAAAUUCGUAGAUAUUCGGAGGAACACCAGUGGCGAAGGCGGCUCACUGGACCAUUACUGACGCUGAGGUGCGAAAGCGUGGGGAGCAAAACAGGAUUAGAUACCCUGGUAGUCCACGCCGUAAACGAUGAAUGUUAGCCGUUGGGGAGUUUUACUCUUCGGUGGCGCAGCUAA
rnacentral:rRNA from 1 species